AGGCGGGCCGGCGGUGUUGGUUCCCGGCCGGCGGGUCUCCCCGUGUCCUCCUGAGGUUGCCAGGUCUACCCGCGCGAAGGAGUUUGCCGACGAUCGGGCAGAGGGAACGGCGGCCAGGUCUACCGCGUCUCCGACGGGACUUAGGGGCCCGCCGUGGGGCUGGAGGUAGACUAGCAGCUCGUGCCACGGCUCGGAAGGUGUGGUAGGCGUCGCUGUUUCUCUGUGCCUCCAGUUAGGUCGAGGUAAAAGUCGGUUGCGCUCGGGUGCCUCGCCGCGGUAGCCUGGAAAAGGACGUGCGUCGUUUCUGAGGCAAGGACUUUUCUGUCCGUCUAUAGGAGAGAGUGAGGACUCUGCUCCGCCAGCGGUGCCGAGCGAGCGCUUGGGGCUUGGAGAGGCGGCGCGCGAGCGAGAAGGGGGCGCGCGGCGUCGGUGGUGGCGUCGGCUCGGGCGUGGGUUGUGUGGAGCGGUAGCCGGCAGCUGUUUGCCGACCCAGCUACCCCGCCGGCGAGCGAGAAGCGGUCUCGCGCGUGCGAGUCGCCGGAGAAGCAGCAACGAGCCGCGAGCUCAGAGCUGUGGAGAGAGAGAGAGAGAGCGGCCAGAAGCCGGCGGGCGGUCCGCCGGCGCCCGAACGCGUCUGUCCGGGGGCGUCCCCGGCUGCUUGUGUGGGUCCCGGAGGCUCGGAAAGCGAAAGAGGGGGGACCCCGCGGAUUGUCACGGCCGAGGCGGCGGCGCCUCCGGCUCCCGACGAUGCACCUCACGUCACCCGCACGCAGGCGCCCGUCGAGGCGUUCCUCGGGCACGUCGGAGAGGCUUCCCGGCGGGUCGGUUCCUGUCAGGGCCGAUGUUCAGGUCGGCGCGAGCACCUCUCGCGGACGUUGCUCCAGCACACCCGCACGCACGCACGCGACGCUGUUCGCUGCUUUUUUUUUUUUUUUUUUUUUUUUUUUUUUUUUUUUUUUCUUUUUUUUUUUUUUUUCUCCGAUCGAUGAGGCCACUCGGGUCGCGUCGGACAGGGCCCCCGGCGGGCCGGCUCUUCCGCGCUCCCCUGUCCCGGGGGAGCCGCGGCGGUGUCCGGUGUUCAGGCACGGGCGGUCUCCUGUCCAGCUCGCUUCCCGUCGCAGGUGAGCCAGAGCCCCUGACGGCAGAGCGAGCGGCAGCCCGAUGCAGCCAGGGGCCGUGGCCGCGCUCUCAGCUUGUCGAGCAGUGCCGGCUCCUCUCCCCCCCCCCCCCCCCCCCCCCCCCCGCCGCACCACAGCCCCGCCGAGCAGUUGGGCGGGGGGGGCGGCGGGAGGGGCAAUCCUCCUAGC
rnacentral:lncRNA from 1 species